UCCUUGGUGUCGAGCACGUGUAUGGAAUCCCAGAACAUGCAGACAGCUUAGCCCUCAAGACUACUGUUGGUUCAGAGCCGUACCGCUUGUAUAACUUGGAUGUGUUUGAGUAUGAGCUGGACUCAAGAAUGGCUCU
rnacentral:ribozyme from 1 species